UACGAAGGGGGCUAGCGUUGCUCGGAAUCACUGGGCGUAAAGCGCACGUAGGCGGAUUGUUAAGUCAGGGGUGAAAUCCUGGAGCUCAACUCCAGAACUGCCUUUGAUACUGGCGAUCUUGAGUCCGGUAGGGGAGUGGGGAAUUCCUGGUGUAGCGGUGAAAUGCGCAGAUAUCAGGAGGAACACCGGUGGCGAAGGCGCCACUCUGGGCCGGUACUGACGCUGAGGAGCGAAAGCGUGGGGAGCAAACAGG
rnacentral:rRNA from 1 species